CCGCUGUCCGUCCUAAUUAGUCCCACCGUGUAAUCUAGUCGUCACCACCGGUCAUAACUUCCAUAAACUCUGAAAUGGGAAAUUAGAAUUCAUGAGUGAUCACGUGCCGGCAAUCUGAAGGGCACACGUGUUUACUACAUGAACGGAUUUA